ACAUUGAUGUGCCUUUGGAAAACAUACAGCAUUGUAUUAUGAAGAAGCAGUGUGUACUUAGCUUAAAUUCCUUGUCUAUGUCCAACCAUUGACAGUCGAUUUAGUUCCAUCUUUAGCCGCUAGGUGCUGCCAGCAAGUAUAAAGGAAGCGCAGCCAUCUUUGAUCUCCAUAGCGUUGUGUACUUUCGUACUGUGAAGUCGCAAAUCCACAAAUAUUUAUUCGACUUCUUAAUAAUUGCAAAAAAUAUUUAUUUUGUGUUUCUAUGAGUGUUAUUUUGCAAUCAUUACGAGUAUUAUUUACCAAUCCUAUCAUCGGACGCCAUGAAUCACGCGUCAUCUGUUGGAGGUGAUGUUGAGUCAAGCUCCAUAAUUUCCGAGAGGGAAAACGUCCAGGCGAGACGCGAUGGAGACGCCUCGCGUUCGAACAGCUCGUCAAGCGAAAAAGAACAAAAGGAGUCUCUGCGUAAGAAACGACUGGAUUCAAAGGUAACUGUCGAUCUUCGAAUCGGCUCGUUAUCCCACCAGGUCAGUAACAUUGCAAAUCUAAUAAUGCAUCAACUGUGCGUAACAAUUAAUGUAACGGGAAUUGUUGUAAACAAAUUGAUCUCGUCAAUACGGAAAUUUUGACAAAAAACACAACAGAUUUAAACUAAUAAUCUUUGUAACAUAUUUGGCAAAUCGUCUCCGUCGUACAAAUUAUCCGAAAAAGCGUUUCAAAUUGUAUGCGGAAAAAAGGGCCGUAUGCAUAGAAAUAAGACGUCAAAGUUUAAUUUCCGUGAUCUCUAACAAAGUAUCCUGUUGCCAACGCACCACUCAUUGAGGAAUUUUUGUUUGAUAAUAUAAAUUGAAAUCUAUUCAGUCCCUCGGAGGGCUACAAUCCUAUUUGUCACAACCUCGUACAAAAGGCAAGCCAAACAUUAUAAACAAUUAUAGUCUGUAACAUCUGGCACAAUCCAGAGGGGGGCAAUUGAAGACACCGACGGGAGGCACUGAGUGCCACCAAAAUUGUAAUAAUUUGUAAACCAUGUAUGGUUACCAAAUACCGUAAAAAAAAAAAAAAAAAAUGUUUUUUCUGCGGAAGAAAAGCGACGGAUCAAUGCGUCCAAUUUUCGAUUUUCGAGAGUUGAACAAGGUCGUAAAGAUAAAACGCUUAUCUGUAACUGUUUUCGGACACCUCGGUACCAAACUUUCUCCAACCAGGGGACUGGAUGAUAAAAUUGAACAUUUGUCAGGAACAUUUUUCUAGUACCAGUCGCAAAAUUUCGUCGAUACUUCUUGAGGAUCAGUACCAAGGUACCAACCAGUACCUUCAGGAAGGAAUCGGUAUCUUCUUAAGAGUUAGUAUGAAAUGACAUGCCUACCCUUCGAUCUGGCUUCAGCGCCACACCUUUUUGCUUUCAUAACAUGCGGGUCGCAGAGACCUUGCGUGCAAAGGGAACUCGAGUGCUAGUCUUCCUAGACGACUUCCUUUUGGUCGACCAAGACAAAUCCAAGUUCAAACUUCAGGCUGCAGAAGCUGUGAAGCUUUUGGAUUAACCUUUUUUGCUUUCAUAACAUGCUGGGUCGCAGAGACCUUGCGUGCAAAGGGAACUCGAGUGCUAGUCUUCCUAGACGACUUCCUUUUGGUCGACCAAGACAAAUCCAAGUUGAAACUUCAGGCUGCAGAAGCUUUGAAGCUUUUGGAUUAUCUGGGCUGGCAUGUCAAUUUCCAUUAUAUAGGGUGCUCGGUCGCUCGGUCGCGGAGACAUUGCGUACAUAGGGAAGUCAAAUAUUAACGUACUUACGCGACUUUCUCUUGGUCCUUGAAGACAAAUUUACCUUUUUGCUUCCAUAGCAUGCUCGGUCGCGGAGACAUUGCGUGCAAAGUACAGUGCUAGCUUACCUACACGACUUGAUCUUGUUCCACCAAGACAAAUAAACGUUUUUGCUCCCAUAGCAUGCCUCGGUCGCGAAGACCUUACGUACAUAGGGAAGCCAAAUGUUAACCUACCUACGCGACUUUCUCUUGGUCCAUGAAGACAAAUACACCUUUUUUGCUUGCAUAGCAUGCUCGGUCACGGAAACUUUGCGUGCAAAGGGAAGUUGAGUGUUAGUCCACCUACGCAAGUCCCUCCUGGUCCAUCAAAAGAAGUCCAAGUUGAGCCUUCAGGCCACAUAAGCUGUGAGGCUCUUGGAUUAUUUGGGCUGCCAAGUCAGCCUUACAAAAAAUCAAUUAGCACACUGGUUCAAGAGAUGACAUGUCUAGGGAUUCGAUGAAAAAUUGCGAGAAAUAAAGUGGCCACUCAACAACAUCCUAGCUCAAACCCUGACGGAGUUACAUCAAUCUAUGUUAACUUGCAAAUUUUCUUGCGAAGCUUCAAAAAAAAACACCCCCGUAAAAAACAGGCCAUCCUGCAUGUGUUCACAAUUAAAUGCAGUGCUGACGCGGAGCCACAUGUCAAAUAUUGCCGAUACACAAAACCAAACAUUUCCUGGUAACGAAAGCUUCGGACAUGGGUAGGGGUUACAAUUAGACAAAA